rnacentral:rRNA from 1 species
CCUACGGGAGGCUGCAGUAGGGAAUCUUCCACAAUGGACGAAAGUCUGAUGGAGCAACGCCGCGUGAGUGAAGAAGGGUUUCGGCUCGUAAAGCUCUGUUGGUAGUGAAGAAAGAUAGAGGUAGUAACUGGCCUUUAUUUGACGGUAAUUACUUAGAAAGUCACGGCUAACUACGUGCCAGCCGCCGCGGUAAUACGUAGGUGGCAAGCGUUGUCCGGAUUUAUUGGGCGUAAAGCGAGUGCAGGCGGUUCAAUAAGUCUGAUGUGAAAGCCUUCGGCUCAACCGGAGAAUUGCAUCAGAAAAUGUUGAAAUGGAGUGCAGAAGAGGAGAGUGGAACUCCAUGUGUAGCGGUGGAAGGCGUAGAUAUAUGGAAGAACACCAGUGGCGAAGGCGGCUCUCUGGUCUGCAACUGACGCUGAGGCUCGAAAGCAUGGGUAGCGAACAGGAUUAGAUACCCCAGUAGUC